GACGUAGGGCGCGAGCGUUGUCCGGAAUUAUUGGGCGUAAAGGGCUCGUAGGCGGUUGGUCACGUCGGGAGUGAAAACUCAGGGCUCAACCCUGAGCGUGCUUCCGAUACGGGCCGACUAGAGGUAUGCAGGGGAGAACGGAAUUCCUGGUGUAGCGGUGGAAUGCGCAGAUAUCAGGAGGAACACCGGUGGCGAAGGCGGUUCUCUGGGCAUUACCUGACGCUGAGGAGCGAAAGCAUGGGGAGCGAACAGG
rnacentral:rRNA from 1 species